rnacentral:rRNA from 1 species
UACGAGUGCUUCGAGCGUUAUCCGGAAUCAUUGGGCGUAAAGGGUGUGUAGGUUGUUCUGUUAGUCUUGUGUUAAAUAUACCGGCUUAACCGGUAUGCUGCAUGGGAAACGGCAGAGCUAGAGGACGGUAGGGGUCACUGGAACUCAUGGUGUAGCGGUGAAAUGCGUUGAUAUCAUGGGGAACACCAAAAGCGAAGGCAAGUGACUGGACCGCUCCUGACACUGAAACACGAAAGCGUGGGUCGCGAAUGGG